rnacentral:rRNA from 1 species
CGAAGCCGGAAUCGCUAGUAAUCGCGGAUCAGAAUGCCGCGGUGAAUACGUUCCCGGGUCUUGUACACACCGCCCGUCACACCAUGGGAGUCAGUAACGCCCGAAGUCAGUGACCCAACCUGAAAGGGAGGGAGCUGCCGAAGGCGGGACGGAUAACUGGGGUGAAGUCGUAACAAGGUAUC